UACGUAGGGGGCAAGCGUUGUCCGGAUUUAUUGGGCGUAAAGAGCGUGUAGGCGGCCAGGUAGGUCCGUUGUGAAAACUGGAGGCUUAACCUCCAGCUGUCGAUGGAAACCAUCUGGCUAGAGUCCGGAAGAGGAGAGUGGAAUUCCUGGUGUAGCGGUGAAAAUGCGCAGAUAUCAGGAAGAACACCCGUGGCGAAGGCGGCUCUCUGGGACGGUACUGACGCUGAGGUGCGAAAGCGUGGGGAGCAAACAGG
rnacentral:rRNA from 1 species